rnacentral:rRNA from 1 species
AGUGAACGCUGGCGGUAGGCCUAACACAUGCAAGUCGAACGGCAGCACAGUAAGAGCUUGCUCUUACGGGUGGCGAGUGGCGGACGGGUGAGGAAUACAUCGGAAUCUACUUUUUCGUGGGGGAUAACGUAGGGAAACUUACGCUAAUACCGCAUACGACCUACGGGUGAAAGCAGGAGAUCUUCGGACCUUGCGCGAUUGAAUGAGACGAUGUCGGAUUGGCUAGUUGGCGGGGUAAAGGCACACCAAGGCGACGAUCCGUAGCUGGUCUGAGAGGAUGAUCAGCCACACUGGAACUGAGACACGGUCCAGACUCCUACGGGAGGCAGCAGUGGGGAAUAUUGGACAAUGGGCGCAAGCCUGACCCAGCCAUACCGCGUGGGUGAAGAAGGCCUUCGGGUUGUAAAGCCCUUUUGUUGGGAAAGAAAAGCAGCAGGUUAAUACCCCGCUGUUCUGACGGUACCCAAAGAAUAAGCACCGGCUAACUUCGUG